GGACCCUUCCAUGAAGACUGAGGCAGGCAUAGCUGCUGAGAGCCUGCUGACAUGACAUCGGCCACGGAGUUUGAAAACGUAGGCAACCAGCCAUCGUACAGCCGGAUCAAUGCCCGCUGGGAUGCCCCGGAUGAUGAGCUGGAUAAUGACAACAGCUCAGCCAGGCUCUUUGAGAGGUCCCGGAUCAAGGCCUUGGCAGAUGAGCGGGAAGUUGUUCAGAAGAAGACCUUCACGAAAUGGGUGAACUCACACCUGGCACGUGUGUCCUGCCGUAUCACCGACCUCUACAAGGACCUGCGGGAUGGGAGGAUGCUCAUCAAGCUGCUGGAGGUGCUCUCGGGAGAGACGCUGCCAAAGCCCACGAAAGGGAAGAUGCGCAUCCACUGCCUGGAGAAUGUGGACAAGGCCCUGCAGUUCCUGAAGGAGCAGCGUGUGCACCUGGAGAACAUGGGCUCCCACGACAUUGUGGAUGGCAACCACCGCCUGGUCCUGGGCCUCAUCUGGACCAUCAUCCUCCGCUUCCAGAUUCAGGACAUCGUUGUCCAGACUCAGGAAGGUCGUGAGACACGCUCGGCCAAGGAUGCGUUGCUGUUAUGGUGUCAGAUGAAGACGGCAGGCUACCCCCACGUCAAUGUCACCAACUUCACCUCCAGCUGGAAGGAUGGCCUGGCCUUUAACGCCCUGAUACACAAGCACCGACCUGACCUGAUCGACUUCGACAAGCUGAAGGACUCCAACGCCCGUCACAACCUGGAGCACGCAUUUGACGUGGCUGAGCGUCAGCUGGGCAUCAUCCCGCUCCUCGACCCCGAAGAUGUCUUCACAGAAAACCCUGAUGAGAAAUCCAUCAUUACCUACGUGGUGGCAUUUUACCAUUACUUUUCCAAGAUGAAGGUGCUGGCAGUAGAGGGCAAGCGUGUCGGCAAGGUCAUCGACCAUGCCAUUGAGACUGAGAAGAUGAUUGAGAAGUAUAGUGGUCUGGCCUCGGACCUGCUCACCUGGAUCGAGCAGACCAUCACCGUCCUGAACAGCCGCAAGUUCAUCAAAUCCCUGUCCAGCGUCCAGCAGCAGCUACAGGCCUUCAGCACCUACCGCACCGUGGAGAAGCCACCCAAGUUUCAGGAGAAGGGGAAUCUGGAAGUCCUACUUUUUACCAUCCAGUCCCGAAUGAGAGCCAACAAUCAGAAAGUGUACACGCCCCAUGAUGGGAAAUUAGUGUCUGACAUCAACCGGGCCUGGAAAAGCCUGGAGGAAGCUGAGUAUCAGCGGGAGCUGGACCUGAGGAAUGAGCUCAUCCGGCAGGAGAAGCUGGAGCAGUUGGCCCGGCGCUUUGACCGAAAGGCCGCCAUGAGAGAGACGUGGCUCAGUGAAAACCAGCGUCUUGUGGCCCAGGAUAACUUCGGGUACGACCUGGCAGCUGUGGAGGCCGCCAAGAAGAAGCAUGAGGCCAUUGAGACAGACACGGCUGCCUACGAGGAGCGGGUGAGGGCCCUGGAGGACCUGGCCCAGGAGCUGGAGAAGGAGGACUACCACGACCAGAAGCGCAUCACAGCCCGCAAGGACAACAUCCUGCACCUGUGGAACUACCUGCAGGAGCUGCUGCAGUCCCGGCGCCAGAGACUCGAGAAGACGCUGGCACUACAGAAGCUCUUCCAGGACAUGCUGCACAGCAUCGACUGGAUGGAUGAGAUCAAGGCUCACCUCUUGUCUGCUGAGUUUGGGAAGCACUUAUUGGAGGUUGAGGACUUGCUGCAGAAACACAAAUUGAUGGAGGCCGACAUUGCCAUCCAAGGGGACAAAGUGAAGGCCAUCACUGCUGCUACUCUGCAAUUCACUGAGGGGACAGGGUACCAGCCUUGCGACCCCCAGGUCAUCCGGGACCGUGUCAGCCACCUGGAGCAGUGCUUCGAGGAGCUGAGCAACACAGCGGCCGGGCGAAAGGCCCAGCUGGAGCAGUCCAAGCGGCUCUGGAAGUUCUUCUGGGAGAUGGAUGAGGCCGAGAGCUGGAUCAAGGAGAAAGAGCAGAUUUACUCCUCCCUGGACUACGGCAAGGACCUGACCAGCGUGCUCAUCUUGCAGCGCAAGCACAAGGCCUUUGAGGAUGAGCUGCGCGGGCUGGACGCCCACCUGCAGCACAUCUUCCAGGAGGCUGAGGGCAUGAUUGCACGCAAACAGUUUGGAUACCCGCAGAUCAAGGCCCGAAUUAAGGAGGUGUCUGCCCAGUGGGACCAGCUGAAGGAGCUGGCUGCCUUUCGCAAGAGGAACCUCCAGGAUGCUGAGAACUUCUUCCAGUUCCAGGGCGAUGCAGACGACCUGAAGGCCUGGCUGCAGGAUGCCCACCGGCUGCUCUCAGGAGAUGACGUGGGGCAGGAUGAAGGGGCCACACGGGCCCUGGAGAAAAAGCACAAGGACUUCCUGGAUAAGUUGGAGGAGAGCCGCGGGGUGAUGGAGCAUCUGAAACAGCAGGCCCAGGCCUUCCCCCAAGAGUUUCGGGAUUCCCCAGAUGUGACCAAUCGGCUGCAGACCCUCCAGGAUCUCUACCAGCAGGUGGUGGCCCAGGCAGACCUGCGUCAGCACAGGCUGCAGGAUGCCCUGGACCUGUACAUGGUGUUUGGGGAGACUGAUGCCUGUAAGCUGUGGAUGAGUGAGAAGGAGAAGUGGCUGGCCCAGAUGGAUAUCCCAGACACGCUGGAGGACCUGGAGGUUGUGCAGCACAGGUUUGACAUCCUGGACCAGGAGAUGAAGACUCUGAUGGCUCAGAUUGAUAGCGUGAACCUUGCUGCCAACAGCCUGGUAGAGAGUAACCACCCGCGCAGUGGGGAGGUGAAGCAGUACCAGGACCAGCUGAACACCAGGUGGCAGGCAUUCCAGACCAUGGUGUUAGGCCGGCGGGAGGCAGUGGACUCGGCCCUUUGGGUGCACAACUACUGUGUGGACUGCGAGGAGACCAGCAAGUGGAUCACGGACAAGACAAAUGUAGUAGAGUCCACAAAGAACCUGGGUCGGGACCUGGCGGGCGUCAUUGCCAUUCAGCGCAAGUUGUCGGGGCUGGAGCGUGAUGUGGCCGCCAUCCAGGCCCGCGUGGGUACCCUUGAGCGGGAGUCACAGCGGCUGAUGGAGUCACACCCUGAGCUGGAGAAGGACAUUGGCCGGCGGCAGGCGUAUGUGGAGGAGCUGUGGCAGGGCCUGCAGCAAGCCCUGAAGGGCCAGGAGGCCUCGCUGGGGGAAGCCAGCCAGCUGCAGGCCUUCCUGCAGGAUCUAGAUAAAUUCCAGGCUUGGCUAUCCACGGCCCAGAAGGACGUGGCCUCCAAGGACAUGCCCGAGUCCCUCCUAGAGGCUGAGCAGCUCCUGCAGCAGCAUGGGGCCAUCAAGGAUGACAUUGACAGGCACCAGGAAAGCUACCAGCAGGUCAUGGCAUCUGGGGAGAAAGUAAUUAGUGGCCAGACGGACCCAGAGUACCAGCUCUUAGGCCAACGGCUGGGUGGCCUGGCUACUGGCUGGGACUCCCUGCGCCGGAUGUGGGAAAGCCGCAGCCACACCCUCACCCAGUGCCUCGGCUUCCAGGAGUUCCAGAAGGAUGCCAAGCAGGCUGAAACCAUCCUCAGCAACCAGGAAUACACUCUGGCUCACUUGGAGCCCCCAGACUCCCUAGAAGCUGCAGAGGCCGGGAUACGGAAGUUUGAGGAUUUCUUGUUGUCUAUGAAGAACAACCAGAAUAAGGUCUUGAGCACCAUAGACUCUGGAAACAAGCUGGUAGCUGAGGGAAACCUCUACUCCAACAAGAUCAAGGAGAAGGUGCAGCUGAUUGAGGACAGGCACAGGAAGAAUGGCAAGAGGGCCCAGGAGGCCGGAGACCUUCUGAGAGACAACCUGGAGCUCCAGAACUUCCUGCAGAACUGCCAGGAGCUCACUCUCUGGAUCAAUGACAAGCUGCUGACAUCUCAGGAUGUCUCCUAUGAUGAAGCGCGAAACCUUCACAACAAGUGGCUGAAGCACCAGGCAUUCAUGGCGGAGCUGGCUUCCCACCAGGGCUGGCUGGAGAACAUUGAUGCAGAAGGAAAGCAGCUGAUGGAGGAGAAGCCCCAGUAUUUGGCCCUGGUGUCCCAGAGGCUAGAAGCCUUGCACCAGCUCUGGAAUGAGCUUCAGGCCACCACACAGGAGACAGCCCAGCGCCUCUCAGCCGCCAGGAGCUCCGAGCUGCACCUGCAGACCCACGCCGACCUCAACAAGUGGAUCAGGGCCAUGGAGGACCAGCUGCGGUCAGACGACCUGGGCAAGGAUCUGACCAGCGUCAACAGGAUGCUAGCUAAGCUGAAGCGCGUGGAGGACCAAGUGAACGUGCGGAAGGAGGAGCUGAGGGAGCUGUUUGCCCAGAUGCCGUCGCUGGAAGAGGAGGUGGAAGGGGAAGACCUGAGCAUUGAGAAGCGGUUCCUGGACCUUCUGGAGCCCUUGGGGAGGAGGAAGAAGCAGCUGGAAUCAUCCAGAGCCAAGCUGCAGCUCAGCCGGGACUUAGAGGAUGAGACGCUCUGGGUGGAGGAGAGGCUGCCUCUGGCCCAGUCGGCCGACUAUGGCACUAACCUGCAAACUGUGCAGCUGUUCAUGAAGAAGAACCAGACGCUGCAGAAUGAGAUCCUGGGCCAUGCACCGCGGGUGGAGGAUGUGCUGCGGAGAGGGCAGCGGCUGGUGGAGGCGGCCGAGAUCGACUGCCAGGACAUCGAGGAGCGCCUGAGGCACCUGCAGGGCUCGUGGGGCACGCUGCAGGAGGCGGCGGCCGGGCGGCUGCAGCGCCUGCGGGAGGCCAGCGAGGCACAGCAGUACUACCUGGACGCGGAGGAGGCCGAGGCCUGGAUCAGCGAGCAGGAGCUCUAUGUCAUCUCCAAAGAGACCUCCGAGGAUGAAGAGGGUGCCAUCGUGAUGCUGAAGCGGCACUUGCGGCAGCAGCGCGCGGUGGAGGAGUACGGGAGGAACAUCAAGCAGCUGGCCGGCCGGGCCCAGGGCCUGCUGUCUGCCGGCCACCCUGAGGGGGAACAGAUCAUCAGACUUCAGGGGCGAGUGGACAAGCAGUAUGCAGGGCUGAAGGACAUGGCAGAGGAGCGCAAGCGGGAGCUGGAGAACCAGUACCACCUCUUCCAGCUGAGGAGGGAGACAGAUGACCUGGAGCAGUGGAUCGCAGAGAAGGAGCGGGUGGCCUCUUCUCCAGAAAUGGGGCAAGACUUUGACCACGUGACUCUGCUCCGGGACAAGUUCCGGGACUUUGCUCGGGAGACUGGGGCGAUUGGGCAGGAGCGGGUGGACAACGUGAAUGCCAUCAUCGAGCGGCUCAUCGAUGCAGGCCAUGCAGAGGCGGCCACCAUCGCCGAGUGGAAGGACGGGCUGAACGAGAUGUGGGCAGACCUGCUGGAGCUCAUCGACACGCGCAUGCAGCUGCUGGCCGCCUCCUACGACCUGCACCGCUACUUCUACACCGGCGCCGAGAUCCUGGGCCUCAUCGAGGAGAAGCACCGCGAGCUGCCCGAGGACGUGGGGCUGGAUGCCAGCACCGCCGAGUCCUUCCACCGCGUGCACACGGCCUUCGAGCGGGAGCUCCACCUGCUGGGCGUACAGGUACAGCAGUUCCAGGACGUGGCCGCCCGCCUGCAGAUGGCGUAUGCUGGGGAGAAGGCAGACACCAUCCAGAACAAGGAGCAGGAGGUAUCUGCUGCGUGGCAGGCGCUGCUCGAUGCCUGUGCCGGGCGCCGCACCCAGCUGGUGGACACAGCGGACAAAUUCCGCUUCUUCAGCAUGGUCCGAGACCUCCUCUCCUGGAUGGAAAGCAUCAUCCGGCAGAUCGAGACCCAGGAGAGGCCCAGGGACGUCUCCUCAGUGGAACUACUCAAGAAGUAUCACCAGGGUAUCCGGGCAGAGAUAGAAACCCGGAGCAAGAACUUCAGUGCCUGCCUGGAGCUUGGAGAGUCCCUGCAGCAGCGGCAGCACCAGGCCUCGGACGAGAUCAGUGAGAAACUGCAGCAGGUUGUGUCCAGGAGGAAGGAGAUGAUGGAGAAAUGGGAGGCCCGCUUUGAGCAUCUCAAUAUGUUGCUGGAAGUGUGCCAGUUCUCUCGGGACGCCUCUGCGGCCGAAGCAUGGCUGAUCGCCCACGAGCCCUACCUGGCCAGCCAGGACUUUGGACACACAGUGGACACUGUAGAAAAGCUUAUCAAGAAGCAUGAGGAUUUUGAGAAAUUCACAGCGGCCAGCUGGGAAGAGCGCUUCGCUGCCCUGGAGAAGCCCACCACGCUUGAGCUCAAAGAACGCCAGGCCCCAGAGAGAUCCAAGAAGGAGACUACUGGGCCUCAAGAGGAGGAAAGCGAGACAGCAGGGGAGGGUCCCCGAGGUCCCCAUCGACCAGCCACCAAGACACCGUCCCUGGGGGAAGAAGAGAGGCCGUGGCCUCAGGACCGGCAGCCGCCACCCCUGCCAGAGCUGCAUGAGGAAGGGCAGGAGGAGAAAUCCAGUGCAGAUGAGAGGCCAGCCACAGAGCCCCUCUUCAAGGUCCUGGACACGCCUCUGAGUGAGGGCGACGAGCCUACAACACUGCCGGCCCCGCGGGACCACGCGCACAGCGUGCAGAUGGAGGGCUACCUGGGCCGCAAGCAUGACCUGGAGGGGCCCAACAAGAAGGCAUCCAACAGGUCUUGGAACAACCUGUACUGUGUGCUCAGGAACAGCGAGCUGACCUUCUAUAAAGAUGCCAAGAACCUGGCCCUGGGGGUGCCCUACCACGGGGAAGAGCCCCUGGCCCUGAGACACGCCAUCUGCGAGAUUGCUGCCAACUACAAGAAGAAGAAACACGUCUUCAAGUUGAGAAGGUGCUGUGCUGCCUGACGGGGUUCUGGUCAUGGGAAGGCUCAGGGGGCUGUGGGAUCAGAGCCUACCCUCUGCCCAGGCAGAGGGCUCCAGAGGUGGCCACGUGGCAGGAAAUCCUUUGUCCUCCUAGGCUGAGCAAUGGCAGCGAGUGGCUCUUCCAUGGCAAGGAUGAGGAGGAGAUGCUGUCCUGGCUGCAGGGCGUGAGCACCGCCAUCAAUGAAUCCCAGAGCAUCCGUGUCAAGGCACAGAGCCUGCCCCUGCCCUCCAGCACCGGCCCCG